UCUAAUAUGGCAGAUUAGUGCAAUGAACUUAAGCUUCAUAAAUAAAGAAUUUUUCUUUUAUUAGAA
rnacentral:tRNA from 1 species